AGAAAAGAGUCAUAGUUAUCCUGAUAAAAAUUUGCUAUCGUAAUUUAUGUAAAUUGAACAUCAUAUGGGCUUACUGUAUGAUUAAGAUUUUAUAAAUGAAAACUAGAUCCGCAAGUACAAUAGAUGAAAUUUGAUCUAUGCGUAAUUGCGCGCUUCAUCAAAACUAAUAAUGUUCGCCGAUCAAAAUGCAUAUUUGCUUGAUGAAUAUGCGUGUCGAGGUCAUCAUUUUAUAUGAUGUUCUAUACUUGACAAUUGUAACUCUAUAAACAAGCGUAUUAACUAUUAAUAUUAACAGGCUACAUAUGAUAUGUAUAUGGUAUUAUAUAUACAGUGGUUAAAGAAGAUAUUUACACAUACCCUUUGCUUUCAAUGACGCGUUUUUUAUCAGAUUCUUCAUUUUAUUUCCAUAAUAUCAAAUUUUUAGUCGCAUGAACGUAUGUAAAUGCUAUAAUAAAUACAAUGGAUAAAUUA